rnacentral:rRNA from 1 species
AGCAGCCGCGGUAAUUCCAGCUCCAAUAGCGUAUAUUAAAGUUGUUGCAGUUAAAAAGCUCGUAGUUGAAUUUCGGGGUUAGUAAGUUGGUCAUGCCUUCGGUAUGUACUGGCUUUACUGAUUCCUCCUUCUUGACGAACCGUGAUGUCAUUAAUUUGGUGUUGCGGGAAAUCAGGACUGUUACUUUGAAAAAAUUGGAGUGUUUAAAGCAGGCUAACGCUUGAAUACAUUAGCAUGGAAUAAUGAAAUAGGACGUUAAUCCUAUUUUGUUGGUUUCUAGGAUCGACGUAAUGAUUAAUAGGGAUAGUUGGGGGCAUUAGUAUUCAAUUGUCAGAGGUGAAAUUCUUGGAUUUAUUGAAGACUAACUACUGCGAAAGCAUUCGCCAAGGAUGUUUUCAUUAAUCAAGAACGAAAGUUAGGGGAUCGAAGACGAUCAGAUACCGUCGUAGUCUUAACCAUAAACUAUGCCGACUAGGGAUCGGAUGAUGUUAAUUUUUUAAUGUACUCAUUCGGCGCCUUA